rnacentral:rRNA from 1 species
UACAGAGGUCCCAAGCGUUGCUCGGAUUCACUGGGCGUAAAGGGUGCGUAGGUGGUGAGGUAAGUCGGAUGUGAAAGCUCGGAGCUCAACUCCGAAAUGGCAUUGGAAACUACCUUGCUCGAGGGUUGGAGGGGGGACUGGAAUACUUGGUGUAGCGGUGAAAUGCGCAGAUAUCAGGAAGAACACCAAUGGCGAAAGCAGCUCUCUGGGACGGUACUGACGCUGAGACGCGAAAGCGUGGGGAGCGAACAGG